GCCUUCUUAGUUCAGUGGCUAGAAUUUUCCACUAGUAGUGUCUCUUCGAGUCUUGCUAUGGAACGGUCACCCGUUCGAUUCGGGUAGAAGGCA
rnacentral:tRNA from 2 species